GACGAACGCUGGCGGCGUGCCUAAUACAUGCAGGUAGAACGCACAGUUUAUACCGUAGCUUGCUACACCAUAGACUGUGAGUUGCGAACGGGUGAGUAACGCGUAGGUAACCUGCCUGGUAGCGGGGGAUAACUAUUGGAAACGAUAGCUAAUACCGCAUAAUAUUGAUUAUUGCAUGAUAAUUGAUUGAAAGAUGCUAUUGCAUCACUACCAGAUGGACCUGCGUUGUAUUAGCUAGUAGGUGAGGUAACGGCUCACCUAGGCGACGAUACAUAGCCGACCUGAGAGGGUGAUCGGCCACACUGGGACUGAGACACGGCCCAGACUCCUACGGGAGGCAGCAGUAGGGAAUCUUCGGCAGUGGACGAAAGUCUGACCGAGCAACGCCGCGUGAGUGAAGAAGGUUUUCGGAUCGUAAAGCUCUGUUGUAAGAGAAGAACGGGUGUGAGAGUGGAAAGUUCACACUGUGACGGUAGCUUACCAGAAAGGGACGGCUAACUACGUG
rnacentral:rRNA from 1 species